UUGGUGCACGGGGGAAAAGUUUGGGCUUUUAAACACCCGGGUCUUAGGCAAUGCAUGCGUCUUGGUGGGGAAGCGGUAGCACGUCGUUCAACGAGUGUGGAUUAAGCUGGAGUGGAGUGAAGGCUUUGCCGACCAGGGGAACAACACGGAUCUCGGGACUGACGCUGAGCCUGGGGUUCUGGAAGCUGUCGGGUUAACCCCGCUCCCACACACCGCGCUGUUGGAUGACUGAGGGGUGAAAUCGUUCACCCCUCGCGAAGUUAAGUACUUUGUUGCUGUAGCCUACUGCUUAACGUUGAAUCGUCGUGUCUGAAGCUAUCAUAUUGAGCCUGUGACUACCACCAUUGUCUCAGACAUAACGUAGGCUGCUGGUGGAAUUGCUGUGGUUGCCUUUGAAGACGCUGCCCUGAAGCCUGUUUAUCCCCGUGAUUGUGCAGCUACUAUAGUGCGCACGCCAUUGAUUGUACUUGUGUGCUUCGUAACGAACUGUGCAGAUGCGUUGCGUCUGCCCAGCAUAAUAUCCCCGAGACUGUGUAGCUACUAUAUUGAGCACGCCAUUGACUGUGAAACUGCGUGCCUCACUAAGAACUGUUUUCUGCUUCCGGGCCUGAUAUAUCCCCAAGACUGUGUAGCUACUAUAUUGAGCACGCCAUUGACUGUGAAACUGCGUGCCUCACUAAGAACUGUUUUCUGCUUCCGUGCCUGAUAUAUCCCCAAGACUGUGUAGCUACUAUAUUGAGCACGCCGUUGACUGAAACUGUGUGCCUCAUUAAGAACUGUCUUGCUUUCUCGCCUGAUAUAUCCCCAUGACUGUGUUGCUACUAUAUUAAGCACGCCAUUUACUGUGAACCUGAGUGCUGCCUUAUUAAGAACUGUUUUUGCCAUCUGUUCUAAUGCCUCCGACUGUGUAGCUACUAUAUAGCGCACGCCAUAGACUUUUGGACCUGUUAUUACUCCGCUCCUUCGACUGUCCUUGUCACCCUUCAGCAGCUUGGCCUUUCCUCCAGUCUAUCCCACUCAGGGACAGGACAGCGUGAACCUCAACAGCCCAGCCCUUUUGGUGACGGCCUAUAGUGAUGUGUGUGUGAAAGACCGUGUGACCCCACUGUGAAGCAGCCAUUGCCGUCCACGUGUGAGGGACUGGACUAGGACCUGGCCUGCUGCAGCCUCGGAUGACCAGUCGGUUGGGGGAUCCAGAGACUACCGAGCGGGUGUGGUAGACUACACAACACACACAACCCGGGACCCUCAGCUGACUGACCGAGACGGGAUACUGAAGGACAAAUUAAACUGGACUAUUACAUCCUUUAUUACGGAAAAACACUACAGUUUUAAUUGUUACUUAAAUAAAAUACAGACUUUUACUA